rnacentral:sRNA from 1 species
UUUUUAUUCGGUUUUGUGAACACGUGGUCGAGUGAUCCCUUGGUUGUGCUUGGCGAUCGAGUGACCGUGAGAGGCGAGAGAUGGUUAAGCGGUUUGAAAGACGUCGAGUUUGGUUGCUUAAUCGAGUGAAGCGGCGAUGACGAGCUUUCGUGGGGAUGAGAGCAGCGGCGAUGGAAACGAUGGGGAGGCGUUGAGAAGCGGCGAGAUCGAGUGACUGUGCAAGGUCGAGUAUGUUGAGAGAUGGUGGUGAGAGCGAUGAAGUUGUGAAGGAGCAGCGAUCGAGUAGCUAGUGGGUUUGAGACGAGCUGCGGUCGAGUGAACUUGAACUCGCGGAAGAGAAGAAACGGUGGUGUUAACGAGUGAUGGCUGGAUUUGAGAGAUGAGAGAAUGAUGGCACCUUGGUCGAGUGAUGAGAGACGGUGGUGAAGAGGCGAGUGAGAAGCGGUCGAGUGCGUGGGGAAGAAAGAUGGUGAGGUCGAGUGACGGAGAAGAAAGGAUAAGGUGAAGAGUGUUGGUCGAGUGUUUGAGAGAAGAGUGUUUGAGGAUAAGAAGUGGCGAGGUCGAGUAUUUGUGGAGAGAGGGGCGAUGGGAUAGAGUGAAUUGAUAAGAUGAGGUCGAGUGGUGGGGAUAAGGUGCGUUGAGGUCGAGUGGUGAGGAGAAGAAGAAGAUAGAUUCUUGUCUUUUGGUGGUGUGCAUGGGAGACAUGGGCGUCAGCGGCGGAUCCCACAGUGUCUUCUUGUCUCUUCUCUGUUCACUAGAAAACCUCCGGGAAAUCCCACAAUCUUCUGUAAACUUGAUAAACUUCCUAGAAGACUCUGUAGGUUCUGUUGGUCGAGUAAAGUGAUGAUUAAAAUUUUUUAGGUUUUUAAACAUCACUCAUACUCGACCAAUAUACUCGAUCUCUAGGCCAUCAGUAGAGUAAAAGUUUUGAAUUUUUACUCUACCUUCACGUUACUUUUUUUUUUUUUCCUGAGAACCACAAACACAACCAAAACAAAUCAAAAAUAACAAGAAAGUAAAAAUUAUUUACAAGGAUAGUCAUGGAACUUCCUCCCAAGUGAGCUUGUUUUAAGUCUCUAGCUUGACUCCUCACACUUAUCAAGAAGAAAAUGAACUGUAGAGAGGGUCAGCAUAAUCCUCUCUGAUACCAUCAUCAUAUUCAGCGUCCUCCCUGGAAAGGUCUGCAGCAGAAUACUCAAUCCCCCUUUCUUCAAAAUAGGCUUCCUUCUCUUCUGGAGGAUAAUCUGUAUCUUGAGACCAUCUUGAAGUGAAUUCUUUUCUCGGGAUAGUGUUAAUCCCACCUUUAGGUUGAGCUUCCUUCUGCAUCUGAUUCAGCUUACUCCUAAGUUCCUCAAUGGUGUUGGCUAGCUUCUCUAUAGUUUCAUUCUGCUUAUCAGACCUCUUUCUAAGCUCUUUCACUCUUUCAGUCUCAUAUCCUUCUCUUGAGAUCGCUCUAUCAUUUCCAGAGGUUCUUCCAUCUUCGGUUGACCCUUGUGGAGUUUUGUUGAUGCCAAACUGCAACUUGAUAUGCUUUCCAAGGUUGAGACUAAUUUUCCCUUCCCUGACAUCUAUCACUGCUCCCACUGACGCUAAAAAGGGUCUUCCCAGUAUUAAGGGAUCCUUAUGCUCUACUUCCAUAUCCAGCACCACAAAGUCUGUAGGCACUUCUACGCCAUUAAUCAUGACUGGUAAGUCUUUCAGCAUGCCGAACGGUUUUCUAGAAGACCUAUCCGCAAGGAUCAAAGUCAGGUCACAAGGUUUAUAUUGAAUGAACUCUAACCUUCUUGCUACAGAGAGUGGCAUCAAGCUAACAGAGGCUCCGAGAUCGCACAGACAAUCGCCGAAAGCAAAUUCCCCAAUGGAACAUGGUAGAGUGAAAGAUCCAGGAUCUUCUAACUUCUCUUGAACAAUCCUCUUAUCAGCAGCUCGAGAUGGAGUGGCAUCACUUUCAUCAUCCGAAUCGUGAUACAUCUUGAUCCUUUCCAGUAUCAAAUUUCUCACAUCUUUGUGAGGAUCAGGAAUCAGGUUAAGAACUUCCAUUACUGGCAUCACUGCUUCAAUCUCGUCCAACUGCUUCGCUGCAAUAGACUUGUAUCUCUCCAUCCAUGCUUUCCUGAAUGUCCACGGAAGAGCACGUGAGGGUAGUGGAGUGGGUUUGAAUCGUUUUACCAUUCUCUCGAUUAUGGCGGCCUUCUCUUCUGAGGUGGAUUGAGUGAGAUGGCGAGAACAAGCAGAAUGGUUGAAUUCAACAACAGAGACUUCAACCUGAGUAGAAGCCUCCCCUUCUUGAACAUCACUGUCCCCAGUGAUGAAAUCAGGGACAGGUCGAGUUGGCAGCUCUCGAUCCUGGCAGAUGGUGAUGGCGUGAGCGGUUGCAUACUCUUUUGGAUUCUGUAUGGACUUCCCUGGAAGUCCUGUAACUUUUGGUGCAGAGGUAGAUGCUGAUUGGCCUUCCAAGUAUCUGACUUUGGUAUUCAAUGCCUCCACUUUGGCAUUCAGGUCAUUGUAGCUGCAGUCCAGCUUAUGGUGCAAUUCAGAUAAUUUCUUAGCCAUUUCCAUUGAGCUAGAUGCUUGUCCCUGUAGCAGCUGUUGGACCAUCUGUUUCAUAUCAGCGUCAGGAGCAGCAGGACCUUGGUGUUGCUGAGGUGCAAACCCAGGUGGUUGUUGCUGGUAGUUCCCCUGGAAUUGCUGCUUAGGAAUGAAACCUUGGUUGUAGGGAACAAAAGGUUUGUUCUGACUUUGUUGUUGCUGUGGAGGAUACACCUGAUCCUGAGGGUUAGCAACGUUGGUGCUGCGGUAGGAAAGGUUGGGGUUGUUGGUUUUGAAGUUGUUGUAUCCUUUGUAGCCACCCUGGUUGUUGUUGAUGUAGCUUACUUCUUCCAACUGGUUACCCUCCCCAUCUUGGACUUGAUAUUGCUCGUCAUCAACAAGGAAGUGCACAUGCUUCUGCUGGCUAAGAAGAAUCCUGUCCAGCUUGUCAUUCAGCGCUUUGAUCUCUUUCCUGUGUUUGUCAUCAGAGUCAGCUGUUCCUCUGACGGUCCUAUCACAGUCUUCGUUGUAAUUUCCAUCUGAUUGAGCAAGGUUCUCAACCAAUUCCCAGCCUUCUUCAACAUCCUUGUUCUGAAAAUUCCCAUUGCUGGCGGUAUCCAGAAGCAUUCUGAUGCGUGGUAGGACUCCUCUGUAAAGAGUGCUGAGCAGAGAGGCCUUAGUAAAACCAUGAUGAGGGCAUUGGUUGGUGUAACCCUUGAAACGCUCCCAUGCUUCACAGAAGCUUUCACCAGUCUUCUGUGAGAAACCAGAAAUCUCAUUUCUGAGUCUUGCAGUUCUGGCAUUGGAGAAGAACUUUGACAGAAAAGCCUUCUUACAAUCAUCCGAGGUGGUGAUUGAGUCAUGGGGCAGAUUCUUCUCCCAGAUAUGUGCUUUGUCACCCAAGGAAAAUGGGAACAAACGGAGCUUGAAUCCGUCUUCACUGACACCAUUGAUCUUCGUUAGGUUGCAGAGCCUAUCGAAUUCAUCAAGGUGGUCGAGUGGAUCCUCCAUUGGCAAACCAUGGAAUUUGUUCCCCUGAAUCAUCGAGAUGAGACCACUCUUAAUCUCGAAGUUGUUAUUCUGGAUAGCAGGAGGUGCGAUUCCCUUCCUCUGACGAUGAUCACGUGGUGCAUCUCCGGCACCAAUGUUGGCAUGGCCAUUUUGCUGAUUCUGUUCUUCAGCCAUAACGAGUGGUUGCUGAGGUACAGGGUUGACUGUGGUUCUCCUUUUUCUGAUUUCGCGGGCUGUGCGGUUGAUAUUGUCGUUGAAAAGGAGGUUCUGGUUGCCUGUUGAUCGAGUUCGCAUACAGUAGAGGUGUACCUGGAUCAAGAAGACAACAAGAAAAACACACAGUUAGUAACUAAAAAGAAAAUUGAAAAAGAACUUGAUCUAAGCAAGUCUGAAAUCUCAAAUGUAACAAACAAACACCCAAUUGGCAACGGCGCCAAAUUGAUAAUAGGUUUUUCAGUCAAUUAUCCCAAAACACCAAUCAUGUCGUUGUAGUAUUUUAGGUUGUCAAUCCAAAUGGGUGUGAUGCUAACAAUCAAGAUGUGAUCAGAAGUCACUAAGUCAAGCCAAGCAAUAACAGGUUUUGGUGUGUUCUAGCAAUCCUAAGUGAACAAGCAGGAAACAGAAAAUAAAACAGAAACAGUAAAACACUCGACCAACACAGCUCUUUGCAGAGCCCUGGGUGAGGUCGAGUGACAGGUCGAGUAACAGACAGAAAAUGAAACAAAGAUACUCGACUGCACAGUCUGUUGCCAGACAACUGGGUGGUCGAGUAUUAGGUCGAGUAACAGUAAAGAAUUACAGAAACUAAGCAACAGGUGACAGGAUGCAGUAAACAGCAGUAGAGUAAACAAUAAAAUCAAUCAGACAAAGAAUUCCUAAGGAUGGGGUAAUUGAGUAGUUUCGUUUCCUCAGUUUACAGGUGAUUGACAUGCUCAACAAAUUAACCCUAGACAACAAGUUCGUUAACCAAAUCUAAGUGCCACCGCAACAGAGACUCUCAAGCUAACCUAGUCCCAGACUCAAUCACCAUUGACGAGAGCUAACCUAACAGGCAUUACGAAUCAACAAGUUAAAGCCAAAACGCUCCCUGCAACCAAUACCUUGGUACAGGGUCACGAAUCUCUGGAAUUAGUGGUUCAGGCAUUUCAUCGAACACCUUUUGGGCGCGGAAAUGUCUGAGCUCAAAUUCCAGUUGAUCAGAAAGCAAUAGGCAUUAAGAACAACUAAUCCAGAAGGGAUCUAUCAAUCAAUACUCAAUCACCUAGCAUACUGAGAAUUCUACACUACUCUAACCCAUCCUCAGAAACCUAUUCACUACUCAGACAUCAUCACAGAAAGCAUAAACGUUGAACAGGUUGAAGACAUGAUAACAGCAGUAUGAUAACAGAAUGAAUAACAGUAAACGAAAAUCAAGAACAGAAACUGAAUAUUGAAUACUGAAUAGAUAAAGAGAAAUCCGGAUUACAAAAAGUCUAGAACACAAGGUCUGCGGAAAUAAAAACUAGGUAAAAACCAACUAGUCUGCGAAAAUGAGAAGUACAUGCUACUUAUAGCCAAAUAUCCCGAAACCCUAAUACUCAAAACGACGAAGUAUUUGGACGGGUUAAGAACUGUACUCGACCCACGUGGUCGAGUGAGAGCUCGAGUGAAUAGCUGGAGUCUUCUUUUCUUCCUUGUGCUCGAGUGUCUGGAUGAGUGCGGAAUGAAGAAGGCUCUGAAGCUUGUCAUCGAGUAUGCAGUCGAGUGGUGUGAUGGAGAUACUCGACCUCUGGGUAGAGUGAGGAGGUCAAGUGAUUGUCUGAUGAUGGAGGUGAAGGCACUCGACCUCGAGGUCGAGUGAAGUGAUCGAGUGACCGUCUGGUGAUGGAGAUGAUGGCACUCGACCACGGGGUCGAGUGGUUAGGUGAAGUGGUGAUGUGCUCUACUCGACCUGGUUGUCGAGUGGUCUCUUGAGAUCUUGAAGCUCCUACUCGACCUCUUGGUCGAGUGGUUUGUCAUAAUCAGGUCUGCUUCUUCCAGAUAGCUCGUCAACAGCUCCAAAUCACCUGAAAUCAACGCAAAUAUGCAACAUGCAUGCAAAACUAUCCUAAACAUGCAAAGUGAUGACAAAUGAUGUGAAAUGGUAUAAAACAGUGAUGAUAUGAUGCUAAAGUGAUGACAAAUGGAUGCUCAAAACAUGCAAAAUACACACUUAUCAAUGUGCUUCGUUCGAUCAUGAUGCACAUUGUUCUUUGACAAUGCUAUGGCGCUUUGGGAGUCACAGAAAAUCUCCACAGUCUCUUGCUCAUAGCCAAAGUCCUUGAGCAGCCCUCUAAGCUAUAUUGCCCCUUUAACAGCUUCUGUGAGAGACAUAUAUUCAGCUUCUGUAGAGGACAUAGCUACUACCUUCUGUAGACACGACCUCCAACUAAUGGUG